GCCUGGGAAGCUCAGUCGAUUAAGUGUCUGACUUCGACUCAGGUCGUGAUCUCACGAUUUGUGGGUUCAAGCCCACAUCAGGCU
rnacentral:tRNA from 1 species